rnacentral:sRNA from 16 species
UUUUGGCCUUUUCGCGUAGGCAAAAAUGGUGAGGUCAGCCGACUUGGCGGAGGAACGCAGCCAACAAAGGUAACUGCGACUGGCGAAGGCACGUAGCCAACAAGCAGUUAGACCUUGCCACUAGCCAAAA